UACGAAGGGUGCAAGCGUUGUUCGGAAUUACUGGGCGUAAAGCGCGCGUAGGCGGGUUGGAAAGUCGAUUGUGAAAUCCCUGGGCUUAACCUGGGAAUGGCAGUCGAAACUCCCAAUCUUGAGUGCCUGAGAGGAUGGCGGAAUAACCGGUGUAGUAGUGAAAUACGUAGAUAUCGGUUAGAACACCUGAGGCGAAGGCGGCUAUCUGGCGGUGCACUGACGCUAAGGCGCGAAAGCGUGGGGAGCAAACAGG
rnacentral:rRNA from 1 species